UCAGCUGUUGGUGGGUGAUGCCUACCAAGGCGACGACGGGUAGCCGCCUGAGAGGGUGUCCGGCCACACUGGGACUGAGAUACGGCCCAGACUCCUACGGGAGGCAGCAGUGGGGAAUAUUGCACAAUGGGCGCAAGCCUGAUGCAGCGACGCCGCGUGAGGGAUGACGGCCUUCGGGUUGUAAACCUCUUUCAAUAGGGACGAAGCGCAAGUGACGGUACCUAUAGAAGAAGCACCGGCCAACUACGUGCCAGCAGCCGCGGUAAUACGUAGGGUGCGAGCGUUGUCCGGAAUUACUGGGCGUAAAGAGCUCGUAGGUGGUUUGUCGCGUUGUUCGUGAAAACUCACAGCUUAACUGUGGGCGUGCGGGCGAUACGGGCAGACUGGAGUACUGCAGGGGAGACUGGAAUUCCUGGUGUAGCGGUGGAAUGCGCAGAUAUCAGGAGGAACACCGGUGGCGAAGGCGGGUCUCUGGGCAGUAACUGACGCUGAGGAGCGAAAGCGUGGGGAGCGAACAGGAUUAGAUACCCUGGUAGUCCACGCCGUAAACGGUGGGUACUAGGUGUGGGUUUCCUUCCUUGGGAUCCGUGCCGUAGCUAACGCAUUAAGUACCCCGCCUGGGGAGUACGGCCGCAAGGCUAAAACUCAAAGAAAUUGACGGGGGCCCGCACAAGCGGCGGAGCAUGUGGAUUAAUUCGAUGCAACGCGAAGAACCUUACCUGGGUUUGACAUGCACAGGACGCCGGCAGAGAUGUCGGUUCCCUUGUGGCCUGUGUGCAGGUGGUGCAUGGCUGUCGUCAGCUCGUGUCGUGAGAUGUUGGGUUAAGUCCCGCAACGAGCGCAACCCUUGUCUCAUGUUGCCAGCACGUAAUGGUGGGGACUCGUGAGAGACUGCCGGGGUCAACUCGGAGGAAGGUGGGGAUGACGUCAAGUCAUCAUGCCCCUUAUGUCCAGGGCUUCACACAUGCUACAAUGGCCGGUACAAAGGGCUGCGAUGCCGUGAGGUGGAGCGAAUCCUUUCAAAGCCGGUCUCAGUUCGGAUCGGGGUCUGCAACUCGACCCCGUGAAGUCGGAGUCGCUAGUAUCGCAGAUCAGC
rnacentral:rRNA from 1 species